rnacentral:rRNA from 1 species
AAGCUCCGGCGCCUUUGGAUCGGGGAAUGCGCUAUCAGGUUGUUGGUGAGGUAACGGCUCACCAAGCCAGAGACGGCUAGCGGGUGUGAGAGCAUGACCCGCCGCAUCGGAACUGAGACACUGUCCGGACUCCUACGGGAGGCUGCAGCGACGAAUCUUCCGCAAUGUACGCAAGUAUGACGGAGCAAUGCCGCGUGCAGGAUGAAGCCCCUCGGGGUGUAAACUGCUGUCAGGGUCUAGGAAGAUCUGACCGGACCCAAAGGAAGGACCGGCUAAGUUCGUGCCAGCAGCCGCGGUAAUACGAACGGUCCGAGCGUUGAGCGGAUUCACUGGGCUUAAAGGGUGCGUAGGCGGACAUGCAAGUGUCUUGUGAAAUCCCACGGCUCAACCGUGGAAUUGCGGGGCAAACUGUGUGUCUUGAGGUCGGUAGGGGUUGCCGGAACUCUAGGUGUAAGCGGUGAAAUGCGUAGAUAUCUAGAGGAACACCAAUGGCGAAGGCAGGCAACUGGGCCGAUUCUGACGCUGAGGCACGAAAGCGUGGGGAGCAAACCGGAUUAGAUACCCUGGUAGUCCACGCCGUAAACGUUGUGCACUAAAUCCCGGAGGUUCUGGACCCCAUCGGGGUCGAAAGUAACAAGCGUUAAGGUUGCACCGCUUGGGGAGUACGGUCGCCAGGAUUAAAACUCAAAGGAAUUGACGGGGGCUCACACAAGCGGUGGAGCUAUGUGGCUUAAUUCGAGGCAACGCGAAGAACCGUAUCCUGGGUCUUACUAUGUAAGGAUUAGCUCUGUGAAAGCGGAGUGACGCGGCUUGCCGUGGAACUUGUACUAGUGCUGCUAUGGCUGUCGUCAGCUCGUGCUGUGAAGUGUCGGGUUAAGU